GGCUGGACUCCUGCUGCAGACAGGGAGCAGAGCACCGCACCUUGAAAUACGGAGAAAAACCUGAAAACGCUAAGAGGUGGAGUGACAACUUGCAUUCAGCUGUUUCAGAAACAUUGUUGACCACCUACUCAAUGUGAAGAUGACAAAGAUGAAAGCCUUUAUGAUGAUCUACUUCCACUUAAUAAAUGGACUAUUUUUCUUUCCUGCCCCAUACCAAUAAGAAACAAGGAUGCAACAACAACAAUGACAACAGACCUAAGUGGAAUCUUGGAAGCAUGCUUGCAAAGCUCAUCCCUCCCCCUGCAUAAGCUAGCUAAGACAAGGCACGGGGUAGGAGGAAAAGAGACAAGAUUGUGACUCAAAAGUGUAGACGGAGGAUUCACCAGAAGGACAGACCCAGGAAGGUGGGAUCCUCACCAUGCUUGAAAAAGAACAUCCAUCUCAAGGGAAACCAGCUGCCAUGCAUGAGGAUACUCCAGCAGCUUAUGGAGAAGUCCAUGUGGUGAGGAACUGGGGUCAGUCCACAACCACCUGAGUGAACCUGAAAGUGGAUCUUCCCCUCACUCAAGCAUUGAGUUGACUGCUGGCCCAACCAACAGUUUGUCUGCAACUUCAUGAUAGACCCUGACUCAGAAGCACUCAAUUAACUCAUG